CGAUUGGCUAUAUAGCCUGUCAUUGACUUCUCGGAAGCUCUUAGCUGGGUUUCUUCAGUUUUUUAUUGGUGGGCGGUGGAGUCUCAGGGUGACGCAUCCGGGCGGGGUCACAUGUUGUUUUCGCCGUGCUGCUUUCCCUCCCCCUCCAGCUACAGUCUGUCUGUAUUAAGUGUACGCGCGGCAGGAGAAUUCUGUCUCCUCCGGUUUUGUAUGGGAGCAAAGAGUUUCCAGCCAACAAGGAAAAUGAGCGGAAUUUAGAACUGACCCGCCAGGAAGACGAAGCGCCAGAGCCGCACACUGCCUAAUCCAUUCGCAGAGGGAGGAGAAGUAGCGGGGUGCGCUUCAAACGGCUGCCGCAGAGACGAGCAGGGGUACAGCGCACGCCAGCAGCUGGGUUUCCCAAACCCUCCAUGGCGGGUGUGCUGUGUCCUACUGAAGAGGACAGAUCGAGUCGAGCAGCCUUGAGAAUGCUUCCCCCGCAGCCGUGUCCAGAUGAGAGCGGCGCAUACAGGCGGAUGUCUGGACCGACGCUGUCGCAGGUGCAGGAGGAACCGGCAGCCGAACCCCCGCAGCCGCCGGCAUCCGCCGCGGAGGAUGAUGUGAGGAAACGCGGCUACCUGCGAAAGCAGAAGCACGGACACAAGCGCUACUUCGUGCUGCGGAGCCAGAGCCACCUGGGUCCCGCCCGGCUCGAGUACUACGACAACGAGAAGAAGUUCCGGAGCGGACAACGGAGCGGCUGCCACCCCAAGAGAGUCAUCCCGCUGUACCUGUGUUUCACAGUCAGCCGGCGGGCAGAUGCCAAAAACAAGCACCUCGUGGCUCUCUACACCAAGGACGAGUACUUCGCUAUGGCGGCAGAGAACGAACAGGAGCAGGACGGCUGGUACCAGGCCCUCAGCGAGCUCAUCAAUGAGAGCAAGGGCGCCUGCCUGGACACCGAGGAGCUGGAGGAGAACUACGGCACCCUGAGGCCGGGCACUGUAUUCAAAGAGGUGUGGCAGGUAAACGUGAAGCCCCGAGGGCUGGGUCAGGCCAAGAAUCUGUCGGGGGUCUAUCGCUUGUGUCUGUCCAGCAAGGCGGUGCAUCUGGUCAAGCUGAACUCGGAUGUAGCCUGUGUCCAUCUGCUGCUCAUGAACAUCCGCCGCUGUGGCCACUCCGAGAACUACUUCUUCAUUGAGGUGGGUCGCUCCUCCUCCACCGGGGCAGGUGAGCUGUGGAUGCAGGUGGAUGACUGUGUGGUGGCGCAGCACAUGCACGAGACCUUCCUAGACACCAUGAAGGCUCUGAAGGCCUAUUCGGAAUUCAGGCCCCGGAGUAAGAGCCAGUCCUCCUGCACAAAUCCCAUCUCUUUCAUCACCACCAGAAGGUACUUGGGCAACCUGCCCCCCAGCCAGACUGGACUGCAGAGAAGGGCCAGGACUGAGAGUAUGGUGGGAACACCCCCCUCUGCUAAGAAUAAUUCUUUUCGUUUUAGAACCUCCAGUGAAGGAGAGGGUACAAUGACCAGACCUUUCAGGUCUGUGACUGGGAGUCUGAGCCAUUUAAACACGGCAAGGAUUAACCUGGGAAAGCAAGAAGGAGCUGGGAGGUAUGUCAGAGCACCUUUUAAUUCUGGAUACCAGUCCAGGUCGGCCUCAUUACCUGUGUCUCAUUUCCCAUCUGCCACCAGUCCUAUAAGUGUGUGCUCUAGCAGCGGGCAUGGGUCUGCAUCUGAAACGCUGACCAGGCCAUCUAGUUCCUCUGUUUGUGGAUCUCCUAGUGAUGGUGGGUUUAUUUCCUCUGAUGAAUAUGGUUCAAGCCCUGGUGACCUGAGGUACUUCCGGGUUAGAAGUAAUACCCCUGAUUCCUUGGGAAAUACACCUCCCAUACAGGAAGAGAACACAUUGAGUGACUACAUGUCAAUGAGCACACACAGCCAGCCAGAUUCUAGGGACGAUUAUAUGGAAGCUGAUAAAUGUUUUAGGAAAAGGACAUACUCCCUAACAAAACAUACAAACUCUGCAUCCAAGCAAAAGUCCCAGACUGCAAUUUCUUUGGGGGAGGACUCAGAAGAGAUUAAUAAACAGUUUGCCUUUGCUGAAUCACCAAAGCUGAAAGAUAGUAGUCUUGUAGAUGAUUAUAGUAAUGGUGUAAUAGAUUCUGUUUGUAACCAAAGCAGAAGUAAAGCUAGUGAUGAUGGCUACAUGCCAAUGAUGCCUUCUAAUUUAUAUGACAGUGACUACUUACCCAUGGCCCCAAAAACUGUGUCUGCACCAAAACAAAUUAAUAGGUGUCCUUCUCAGGCAGACUCUAAGGGUUAUAUGAUGAUGUUUCCCAUUAAUAGUUCACCUGUCAAAAAUGUAUUUGGAGGGGCUGCUACUAAAAGUAACCUUGAAAAACUGAGUAAUGGAGGCUACAUGGACAUGUCAUAUGGGAACUCCACAAAACAAAUUCAUGACUCUAAUUUAAAUAAUAAUUCUAGGGGGUUGAGUUCUUAUUUUUCCCUGCCUAGGAGCUUUAAAAGCUUAACUAAGCAGACCACAGAUCAAAAUGAAUAUGUUCCAAUGUCCUCACCUGGAAAGCUGCUGCAUUUGGGUGCAGAAAAUGGAGUGGAUGUUUGUAAGGAUGGAGCAGUUCAUGAUAUAGCUAAGAUUGAAUUAAAAUCUUCCAGUAGCAUACUGGAUCAACAAGUUAAAAGGCCAAAUAAACUUACUCUAGGCAUCAGGGGAAGUAAUACCAUACCAAGAAUGUUUGAUCACUCUGCUCCAGCUGAACCUACUAGCCCUGGAGAGUAUAUAAACAUCGACUUUAGUGAUAAAGCAAGUAGUACUCCAUAUUCACUAUCUGCUGAUGGGUCACCUUCCUCUCUUGGGUCAAGCUGUGAUCAUCGUCAGUCUCCGUUAUCUGAUUACAUGAGUGUGGAUAUUGAUGUACAGUCUCCAAAAGCAACGGCAGAACAGUCUAACUCUUUAACAGACAUUUCAUUAUAUGCAUGCACUGUUGUCUCUAGAAUGCAGCCAAAUGCUGAAUAUGCCAAGCUUCCCUGUGGUACAGCUUGUGUCAGCAAAACGGACAACAUAAUGGAUGAUUACACCACAAUGACUUUUAACAUGGCAAUGACUCCACCAAGAUCCUUUGCCAGUGAAACAGAGAAUGGUACAAAAGUGGACAGUCCUUCAUCCAUUGUGAAUCGGUUGUGUAUAGGGGAAUUGACUUCUCUUAACAGUGGCUUUUCUUUACCAAAUCCUUUGCCUGAACCUAUAGCUGGGCCUAAAGUUAUCCGUGCAGACUCACAGGGAAGGCGAAGGCACAGUUCUGAAACUUUUGCCUCUUCCAGCACGGUGACCACUUCCUCUUCUUGCUUUACUGAAAGUGGCAAGAGGCACAGCUCAGCCUCAUUUGACAAUGUAUGGCUUAAACCUGAUGAAAACAGUUGUGAACAAGAGAAUAAAAUGUCCAGGCAUUGCUCAACAGGAUUUCAGAAUGGGUUAAACUACAUCUCUUUGAGUAUGCACAAUGGUGUUUGUGAACCAACGUCCCCAGAUUGCCAUCAGCACCAAAACGGAAGUAGAAAUCUGGAGAGUGGGGGUUAUGUCAGCAUCGACUUCACAAGGUGUGACUGUCUGAAGUGUCCCACUUCAAGAAAAGUUACACUACACCCUGCCUCCACACCGUUGCGAGGGCUUACACCUUGAGAGAAAGAUCUCAUCCGGAGCACAAAUAUAAUUGAAAUUUUUUAUUCAGCAGCUCUCCAGUUUGCAGUUUCAGCAAUGUUAUAAGAACUGGCAGAUACCCCAUCUAUAACUAUUUCUCAUUCAGUUGCUGAUUCAUCAUAGAGCUUGUUUAUAGUUGCAGAUGCUGGUUACCUUUGACUAUAAACUGACCAUACAUGUAUUAACACAGCACCUGCUAGAUGGCCCAGCACUAUAAAGACUAUGGAGUGUGGUUCUGAAUGAUGGGCAAUAUAAGUACUGAGUGCAUUACCAUGGAAACCAUACAGAAGAAUGUGUCACCCCAGCCUCUCGGCUGGAACACAGACGACUCUGAAGAAACGCAGGAAUAGAAUGCGUGAACUUGUGCUGAAUUGGAAAUGGAUACCUGCUUUCCCACACAGACUUAACUGUACAGCCAUUUAAAGCUUAUUUUGAUGACUUGGCAAAUGAAGCUUAUUUUUUUUCAGCAUAAUUAUUUUUUUGAGAAGAUAAAUUCUCAUUGCACGUCUUACAGUUUGUAUGUGAGAUCUUGCUGUGCUUCGUAUAGCACUUCUGACUUGCAAAAUGGGGCAGGGAUGUGGAAUCCAUUUUAUCGCUCAGUUCCACCAUUUAAAAUGGUGCCCACUUCAGGCCCCUGCAGGAUAAAAUCUGGGUUCUAAAGGGUUAACUUUACGGAACAGUAACUGUCCGCUUGUUAAUGAUCUAUAUAUAAGUUCUACUUUUCUGGUACAGAAGAAAAUAUUAAAUAUGUAAAGUUAAGAAAUAUUUUGAAAGUUUUAAUUUUUUUUAAAGUCAAAGUAUAUGUAUUUUACUUGAUCUAUAUUAUGGAAAUAUGCCUCAGAGAAUGAACAAAGAUGCAUUUUUCUAUGGUACGUGACUUGGCAUAUCACAGAGCUUCUGUGUGUGUGUGAGCCCCUGUCAUUCUCUUUUCUUAAGUUAUUCCCAUAUGUUCACCCCCACUCAUAACUUUUUUUCCCCUUUGGAGUAUCCAACUUCCCAUGAGCCCCAACACUGCAAUCUAAAUGCAUAACAAAGACUACAGUAUUAAUUGAAACGUAUAGGCCCUGGUGUACACAAUCCAAAAAAAAAAAAAAUAUAUAUAUAGGUACUUUCUUACUGUUGAUCCACAACUUUAACAAAAUGUAGCAUUGCAUCUAACUGUUCUGAAAGGAAAUGGAUUUUAUUUGUGACAUUUUGACAUUGUAUGGACAGUGUUGGACUGAGGCCAACGGGCCUGCUACCUUGGGGGGGCCCCACACCACCCCGGGCCCUUCAGCCGAAAGCACUCUGCCCCCCCCUCCCCCAAGCCACAACCCCCCUCUUACCUAUUCCUUUGCACACGUCCAGGGGCCAGAAAGGGAGGUAAGGAGAGCCUUUGGUAGGGAGCGGUUGUGGACGGCUGGUUUCCUGGUUGCCCCGCCGGCACGGUCCAACCCUGUGUAUGGAUAUAGAUGGUGGAUGAGGAAUGCAAUUGUUGCAGCGCAGUUUUUAUAUGUGAAUUACUAGAACAAUUUAAGAGGGUGUUACAGAUGUUUUUAAGGCCCUACACUGAGAAGAACUCUGUCGCUGCCUGAUCUUGGUGAUUAUUGUUUGCUAAUAUUUUGUAAUGCGUGUCAUCUACAUCUUUUGGUUCAGUCCUGCUUCUCCCAUAUAAGCUUAAUACUGUCACUGUGAAACCAGGUGUAUGCUCUGGCUAUACCCCUUGAAGGCCAGUAUGGAACAAUUCUGACAGUUUACCACUACACAAAACUCAAAUGGGAGAGAGACUAGGACUGGGGACCAUCAGUAUGAAUAUAACUGAUAUCAUUUGUCUUAUUUGCUGUGAUUAGGGUGAAGGCGACUGACUGAAUUGAAUCCCAGGUUGUUACUGACGGCAGGUCAAGCUUUUCUUACUGAGCAACUUUGCAGUACAAUAAUUGGGUGACUUUGUUCUGUUCCAUAGAAAACAAUCCACCACACCCUUCCACUUCAUGUUAGCGCUAUUUUAUAAAAAAAAAAACGUUUAUACGAGCUCUUAAAGGCUCCAAUUAGAUUUGUGAUCAAUAGAUUCAGAUUGUACAUAUAUGUGAAAAUUUAAAUAACUGCUUUAUGUACCAAAAAAAAAACUUAUUACAAAUGUGGAUGCAUUAGAAACAGAAUAUACAUUUAUUUUUCCCAUGGUGGUCAGUUGUGUUGAACACCUCUCUGACUUUCUCUAGAUUAACACCUAUUUCAUCUUUGUUUACACACAAAAGCUUUUGGUUUUUUUUUUGUUUUUUUUUAUGGAAUUGAACAGUUGUCUUAAUACCCCAGACCCAAACUCUUUGCCCCCUCGUGAUCUUGCAGCUGCCAGUUCAGAUCUUAACAACCUCAACCUUAGAUUUAUGUGAGUGUUUUAAUACAGGUACAGCAUAAAAUAUGCAAUCUCUUUAGUUUACAAACAAAAAAUUAAUUUAUUCAGUAUUGUGCUGGAAUAUAACGGAGUAUGUAAGCAUAUCACUAGAUAUUAUCUUCCAGCUGCCAGUUUAUGCUGCUGUAUAGUUUAAAAUUUACCAGUGACGGAAGAAAUGUUUUUGUCCUGUAAAUUUAAUUUCAUAUUUGGGAGUUAUUUUGUCUGUACAAAUUAAUAAAAAAGAAGUUGGUACUGUU